GGCCGGUUAGCUCAGUUGGUUAGAGCUUGGUGCUGAUAAUGCCAAGGUCGCGGGUUCGUUCCCCAUACCAGUUG
rnacentral:tRNA from 1 species